rnacentral:rRNA from 1 species
UACGUAGGGUGCAAGCGUUAUCCGGAAUUAUUGGGCGUAAAGAGCUCGUAGGCGGUCAGUCGCGUCUGCUGUGAAAACUCGGGGCUUAACUCCGGGCCUGCAGUGGGUACGGGCUGACUAGAGUGCGGUAGGGGAGACUGGAAUUCCUGGUGUAGCGGUGAAAUGCGCAGAUAUCAGGAGGAACACCGGUGGCGAAGGCGGGUCUCUGGGCCGUAACUGACGCUGAGGAGCGAAAGCGUGGGGAGCGAACAGG